rnacentral:rRNA from 1 species
AACCAGCACCUCAAGUGGUCAGGAUGAUUAUUGGGCCUAAAGCAUCCGUAGCCGGCUCUGUAAGUUUUCGGUUAAAUCUAUGCGCUCAACGUAUGGGCUGCCGAAAAUACUGUAGAGAUAGGGAGUGGGAGAGGUAGACGGUACUCGGUAGGAAGGGGUAAAAUCCUUUGAUCUAUCGAUGACCACCUGUGGCGAAAGCGGCUCUCUGGCCUGCAACUGACGCUGAGGCGCGAAAGCUAGGGGAGCGAACGGG